CACAAUCAAGCUGCUCGUUUUUCAAAAUAGGUUUGACUUGAAUUACUCCUGUUUCCAACAAAUAGCUCUGUACUGUCAACAGGGUGAUCUAUGACCAUCCUUUCUGUGGACCCUACAAAAGGACAGCAGGUUUCAGAAGAGUGAGGAAGAAGAUCUGGCUCUAAACCUGUUUCACUCAGACUGGGUGUUUUUGAGUAAGGUCCAAAAAUGUCAAAAGAAAGGUGACCUACAAGAUCACAGCAUCUUAAUGAGCAAGUCUGUAACAUUUUGACAGAGAAAACUAUCUGCUACUACUAGUGCAAAGAUUCAGAGCUUUGCAUGUCCCAAAGAGCCAAAGAAAGCAAGCAUAAAUUACAUUAAAGAUUUUAAAUUGAAUGUAAAAGAAUAACACUUCACAUCAGACAUAUUCCAUGGACAUAUUCUGUGGACUGCCAUUCUGAAAUAAAUCCAGCAACUCUUUGGAAAUCAGUGGGUUACUCCUUGUUUAACUGAAAGAAAAGUUUUGCCUGAUGCUCUUAACAGUUGUAGCGGAACACAGACAUCUGGGUCCAAUUCCCAAUGAUAGGAGCCCUUAGUUACCACAACUGUAAAAUACCUAUUUCACAAGAAAGUUAGAAAGCCAGCAUGAAGUGCUUUUUUGUGCUGACAAAUGCCAUUACAAUGAAGUAUCACCUAAACUCAAGUCUAGCCAAUUCCCUUUGUUUCCAAUUUUCACACACACCAAAGACUUAAGCAAAACAAGUCAGUAAUGUGACAAUGGAAGAUAAAUGUGUAAUGCAUGAACACCAGAGGAAAAGAGUUAGAAAGCAAUUGCAAGUACAACGAAUAGGUCCGUUCCAGAAUGGGAAUAAUUAGCCCUUUAAUUAAACUUAUCUUGCUGCUAGACAAGAGCAAUGCUCAGCAACACCUGGCCUGGAAUGUUCCUGUCUCUGCAGGCAGCAGAUGGAGCACACAGACAUGAUCCACCUCCCUCCUACCAGGUCCACGGUUGCCUGUGCCAGCAAUUAAGGGGAAAAAAGAAAAGUUAGAGGCAAUGGAACGAACCCUUCCUCCUGAGCCAAUUAAAAGAAGAGUGGUUUAAAGGCAAUGAUAUGGAAGAUGUAGAAGUGUGGUAAGUCAUCCAGAUGCCCUGCAAAACGCCGAGCUGUCACACAGGGCAUCAGCACGAGAGCCAUCAGUAAUGAUGCACACUGCCAUUGUGCUGGAACAAAGCCGUGUUCAUGGUCAGCUUCUCCAUGCAGGACAAAAACUGUCUUUGGC
rnacentral:lncRNA from 1 species